rnacentral:rRNA from 1 species
UAGUGAGUUUGAUCCUGGCUCAGGACGAACGCUGGCGGCGUGCUUAACACAUGCAAGUCGAGCGGUAAGGCUCCUUCGGGAGUACACUAGCGGCGAACGGGUGAGUAACACGUGAGCAAUCUGCCCAUCACAUCGGGAUAACUUCGGGAAACCGAAGCUAAUACCGAAUACAACCACUUCAGGCAUCUGACGGUGGUGGAAAGUUCCGGCGGUGAUGGAUGAGCUCGCGGCCUAUCAGCUUGUUGGUGGGGUAAUGGCCCACCAAGGGCUUCGACGGGUAGCCGGCCUGAGAGGGUGACCGGCCACACUGGGGACUGAGACACGGCCCAGACUCCUACGGGGAGGCAGCGAGUGGGGAAUAUUGGACAAUGGGGGCGAAAGCCUGAUCCAGCAACGCCGCGUGAGGGAUGACGGCUUCGGUUGUAAACCUCUUCAGCGCGACGAAGCGAAGUGACGGUA